rnacentral:piRNA from 1 species
ACUGCAGAGCUUCUUGAACAAGA